UUCUUGCCUGAUUCCAGGCUGAGGUAGUAGUUUGUACAGUUUGAGGGUCUAUGAUACCACCCGGUACAGGAGAUAACUGUACAGGCCACUGCCUUGCCUGGGACAGA
rnacentral:pre_miRNA from 1 species